rnacentral:tRNA from 1 species
AAAUAAGAGUAAAUAACAUAUAGAUUUCUAAUCUAUAGACAAGUACAAACUUAUACUCUUAUUUG